rnacentral:rRNA from 1 species
GACAGAGGCCUCGAGCGUUAGGCGGAAUCACUGGGCUUAAAGCGUGUGUAGGCGGAUCGUUAAGUGCCUUGUGAAAUCCCACGGCUUAACUGUGGAACGGCUGGGCAUACUGGCGGUCUUGAGCCAUCUAGGGGCGACUGGAACAAACGGUGGAGCGGUGAAAUGCGUAGAUAUCGUUUGGAACGCCAAUGGUGAAAACAGGUCGCUGGGGAUGAGCUGACGCUGAGACACGAAAGCCAGGGGAGCAAACAGG